AGCAGUUGUCUAUGGUGGAUCCAUCUCAAAUGAGUUACAGUGAGAAACUAGCAUUUUGGAUUAACCUGUAUAAUGCUUUGAUUAUGCAUGCAUAUUUAGCAUAUGGAGUUCCGAGAGAUGAAAUCAAACUAGCAAAAGCAUGAUAAUGUGCAGGCUGCCUACACCGUUGGAGGACUCUCAGUGAGUGUGGCUGACAUAGAAUGCACUGUUCUAAAGAUGAUCCGGCCACUUACCGACCACAAAUUGCUGUGGUUUUGGCGCUUAAGAAAUUCAAGGCUUCUGUUGAACUGCAGAAGUAUAUGAUUGAUCGUCCCGAGCCUCUGCUUCAUUUUGCUUUGAGUUAUGAGUUGCAUUCUUUACCUGCGGUGAGGGUUUUCAGGCCUGAAAACACGAACGAGUUGCUAAACGAUCAAUGAAAGAUUACAUCCAGGCAUCCGUUGGCAUCAGUAACAAAGGGAAACUAUUGGUGCCGAAAUUGUUGCAUUGCUCCACCAAAGGAACGGUGGAAGAGUCGGUUUUACCCGAAUGGGUUUGUCAGUUCUUAUCACCACAGCAAGCUUCCAUGGUUAGGAGCUGUGAAUCAGGUAAUACGUGGAGGCUCCUAGGUGCUCCAGUCUUCUCCGUCCUACCGUUUGAUUCGAGGUUCCGGUUUCUCUUCCUUUUGAUGAUAAGACCAGCCACCUUUCAAAA